CCGACUUUAGCUCAGUUGGAAGAGCGCAAGACUGUAAUUGGAUACCUCAAACUUGCCUGGUUCGAACCAGUGAGUGAUUACGUAAUCUUGAUGUCGCCUGUUCGAACCAGGCAAGUCGGA